rnacentral:rRNA from 1 species
AUUGAACGCUGGCGGCAGGCCUAACACAUGCAAGUCGAACGAGUGGCGGACGGGUGAGUAAUGUCUGGGAAACUGCCCGAUGGAGGGGGAUAACUACUGGAAACAGUAGCUAAUACCGCAUACCAUCGGAUGUGCCCAGAUGGGAGUAGCUGUUAGGUGAGGUAACGGCUCACCUAGCCGACGUUCCCUCGCUGGUCUGAGAGGGUGACCAGCCACACUGAAACUGAGACACGGUCCAGACUCCUACGGUAGGCAGCAGUGGGGAAUAUUGCACAAUGGGCGCAGGCCGGAUUCAGCCAUGCCGCGGGUAGGAAGAAGGCCGUCGGGUUGUAAAGUACUUUCAGCGAGGAGGCGUUACCCGCAGAAGAAGCACCGGCUAACUCCGUGCCAGCAGCCGCGGUAAUAC